UGCCAGCAGCCGCGGUAAUACGGAGGGGGUUAGCGUUGUUCGGAAUUACUGGGCGUAAAGCGUGCGUAGGCGGUUUACUAAGUCAAAUCUGAAAGCCCUCGGCUUAACCGAGGAGGGUGAUUUGAAACUGGUAGACUUGAGUACGGCAGAGGUUAGUGGAAUUCAAUGUGUAGAGGUGAAAUUCGUAGAUAUUCGGUGGAACACCAGUGGCGAAGGCGGCUAACUGGCUCGGUACUGACGCUGAGAUGCGAAAGCGUGGGGAGCAAACAGGAUUAGAUA
rnacentral:rRNA from 1 species